rnacentral:rRNA from 1 species
CCUACGGGGUGCAGCAGUGAGGAAUAUUGGUCAAUGGGCGCGAGCCUGAACCAGCCAAGUCGCGUGAGGGAAGACGGCCCUACGGGUUGUAAACCUCUUUUGUCGGGGAGCAAAGCGAGUCACGUGUGACUCAUUGAGAGUACCCGAAGAAAAAGCAUCGGCUAACUCCGUGCCAGCAGCCGCGGUAAUACGGAGGAUGCGAGCGUUAUCCGGAUUUAUUGGGUUUAAAGGGUGCGCAGGCGGAGGUGCAAGUCAGCGGUCAAAUUGCGGGGCUCAACCCCGUACUGCCGUUGAAACUGCAUCCCUUGAGUGCGCGAGAAGUAUGCGGAAUGCGUGGUGUAGCGGUGAAAUGCAUAGAUAUCACGCAGAACUCCGAUUGCGAAGGCAGCAUACCGGCGCGCAACUGACGCUCAUGCACGAAAGCGUGGGUAUCGAACAGGAUUAGAUACCCUUGUGUC